rnacentral:rRNA from 1 species
AACUAACGCUGGCGGCGUGCCUAACACAUGCAAGUCGUACGAGAAAGUUGGCUUCGGCUGAUGAGUAAAGUGGCGCACGGGUGAGUAACGCGUGGAUAAUCUGCCUUUUAGUUGGGAAUAACGUACCGAAAGGUGCGCUAAUACCGGAUAAUACUGCAUAACUACUGUUGUGUAGUCAAAGAAGGCCUCUGUUUACAAGCUUUUGCUGAAAGAUGAGUCCGCGUACCAUUAGCUAGUUCGGUAGGGUAAUGGCCUACCAAGGCUACGAUGGUUAGCUGGUCUGAGAGGAUGAUCAGCCACACUGGAACUGAGACACGGUCCAGACUCCUACGGGAGGCAGCAGUGAGGAAUAUUGCGCAAUGGGGGCAACCCUGACGCAGCAACGCCGCGUGAGUGAGGAAGGUUUUCGGACCGUAAAGCUCUGUCGAGCGGGAAGAAAUGUAAUCGUGGCUAAUAUCCAUGAUAUUUGACGGUACCGCUAAAGGAAGCACCGG